UAACGCGUAAAGAACUUGCCUCACAGAUAGGGACAACAUUUGGAAACGAAUGCUAAUACCUGAUAUUAUGAUUUUAGGGCAUCCUAGGAUUAUGAAAGCUAUAUGCGCUGUGAGAGAGCUUUGCGUCCCAUUAGCUAGUUGGAGAGGUAACGGCUCACCAAGGCGAUGAUGGGUAGCCGGCCUGAGAGGGUGAUCGGCCACAAGGGGACUGAGACACGGCCCUU
rnacentral:rRNA from 1 species